UGGGGAAUAUUGCACAAUGGAGGGAACUCUGAUGCAGCGACGCCGCGUGAGUGAUGAAGGAAUUCGUUUCGUAAAACUCUGUUCUAUGGGAAGAAAAGGACUGUACCAUAGGAGAAAGCUCCGGCUAAAUACGUGCCAGCAGCCGCGGUAAUACGUAUGGAGCGAGCGUUGUCCGGAAUUAUUGGGCGUAAAGGGUGCGCAGGCGGCUUUACAAGUUGGAUGUGAAAUAUUGUGGCUCAACCACAAACGUGCAUCCAAAACUGCAAAGCUUGAGUUAAGGAGAGGUAAGUGGAAUUCCUGGUGUAGCGGUGGAAUGCGCAGAUAUCAGGAGGAACACCGAUGGCGAAGGCAGGUCACUGGGCCGUUACUGACACUGAGGAGCGAAAGCGUGGGGAGCGAACAGG
rnacentral:rRNA from 1 species